UGGGGAAUCUUGGACAAUGGGCGCAAGCCUGAUCCAGCCAUGCCGCGUGAGUGACGAAGGCCUUAGGGUUGUAAAGCUCUUUUACCGGGGACGAUAAUGACGGUACCCGGAGAAUAAGUCCCGGCUAACUUCGUGCCAGCAGCCGCGGUAAUACGAAGGGGACUAGCGUUGUUCGGAAUUACUGGGCGUAAAGCGCACGUAGGCGGAUUUGUCAGUCAGGGGUGAAAUCCCGGGGCUCAACCUCGGAACUGCCUUUGAUACAGCAUGUCUCGAGUCCGAUAGAGGUGGGUGGAAUUCCUAGUGUAGAGGUGAAAUUCGUAGAUAUUAGGAAGAACACCAGUGGCGAAGGCGGCUCACUGGGCCGGUACUGACGCUGAGGUGCGAAAGCGUGGGGAGCAAACAGG
rnacentral:rRNA from 1 species